AAAGUCCGAUACGAUGAAGGAGUAGCGAACCACAUCGGCCCCGAGCCGUGCGUCGCUGGCCGUGAGGCCAAUGAUGACGCGUCGGUAGGGGAUGGCAUAGGCCAACCAUCGAGCCGCGAUAGGGAUCCGGGUGCCGACGCUGUAGCUAUAGCGGAAGGCAACAUGGCCGAGCGCGCCAACGCGAGUGCUCGGGCAACCCGGCGUGGUCAGAGACCC
rnacentral:ncRNA from 1 species